rnacentral:rRNA from 1 species
CCCUAGUAACGGCGAGUGAAGCGGGAAGAGCUCAAAUUUGAAAUCUGGCAGUCUUCGAUUGUCCGAGUUGUAAUCUAUAGAGGCGUUUUCCGUGCCGGACCGUGUCCAAGUCUCCUGGAAAGGAGUAUCAAAGAGGGUGAUAAUCCCGUACUUAACACGACCACCGGUGCUCUGUGAUACGUCUUCUACGAGUCGAGUUGUUUGGGAAUGCAGCUCAAAAUGGGUGGUGAAUUCCAUCUAAAGCUAAAUAUUGGCGAGAGACCGAUAGCGAACAAGUACCGUGAGGGAAAGAUGAAAAGCACUUUGGAAAGAGAGUUAAACAGUACGUGAAAUUGUUGAAAGGGAAACGAUUGAAGUCAGUCGUGUUCAUUGGAUUCAGCCAGUUCUGCUGGUCUACUUCCUUUGAACGGGUCAACAUCAGUUUUGUCCGGUGGAUAAAGGCAGUAGGAAAGUGACUUCUCCGGAAGUGUUAUAGCCUGCUGUCACAUACACUGGGUGAGACUGAGGACUGCAGCUCGCCUUUAUGGCCGGGG